AAGGUUCCUAACAUUCUUAUUAAAAUGAUAUGUUUUAAGAGAUAUAUCCUUAGAUAGUUUAUUUCAAUGAGAAUUAAGAUGUGAGAGAGGCCAUGAAAGUGUAAUACUUUUCUUGAGUCUCUCAGAAGUAAGAGUGAAGCAAGUUGUGUCUUCAGGGUAUUGGGGGUGGUCUGCAUUUUCUUUCUUCAUUUUCAAGUAAAUUUUGAGAAUAUGAGUCUAUUUUUAGACAGUUUAAACCAAGUUGGUUUGCUUUUCUCUGAAUUUUUCUGCAUAUGCACAUAAGUAGCUUAUUAGUUUUCUUGAUUCUGUAAUGGAAGUAACACUCUUAAAAGCAGAUAGCAUUAGAGGGCAUAGGUUUAAACACCUGGGUCCUCUCUGUUCUCUUAGAAAGUGAGGUCAUAUAACAAAUGGUGAAAAUGACAGCAGUAAUGUUAUCUGAUAUUUAUUCAGCAUUUUCAGUGUAUCACGAACCAUGAAAAUUAUUUUUAUCUCAUUGUAUCUACUCUUCACAACAAUCUUAAAAGGAAGAACUAUUAGCUAAGGUAGAGAAAGUCACAAGGAUUUGUCCAAGGUCACAGAGCUAAUAUACUGUUCAGCCACGACUUGAUUCCAGUCUGGCUCCAGUUCCCAUACUCUUGACUAUAUCUACAAACAAACAUUUAAUUCAAGUUAUUUAAAAUCUGUCUUUUCCCCUCUAUACAGAGAAACAUGCAUGGACAUACACAGAGACCUUGUAUAGUUUACAGAAAUGUAUAAGUACAAAUGAAAGGAAGACUCCAAUUUAUUAAUGGAUUAUAUGCAUAUACAAAUCAAUUACUUUAACCUUAUCUUUUCCUCUAAGCAUGUAGGGUACCAGCCAGAUAGCAAAAGCUUAUUUAGUAUGUGUUAUACCUAAAAUAUAGCACUCUUAAUACUGUGCUAAUGAUGUUAUAGAUCUUGCCCAUCAUUUAUCUCAUAGUACUGUAAGAGCUUCAGAAAUUCAAAUGUCCUCCAUCAAUUUGGGUGGAUUGGGGUUUCCCUUCCUCUUUCACCACUAGCCCUUGCCUUUAUGUGCUGGAAAAUGGGAGUGGAGACUUUCUGAGCUAUAGAUCAUGGAUGAUAAAUUGGGGCAGAGGCUCCCGGAAAGUGUGAGUUAAAACAGUUUAAAGUCCCAAUCUUUGGAGACAGACAGAUAAGCAUGGUCUUUCUGACAAAUGAACAUUCAAGUAUUUGUUACCCCUAUUUAUAGCCUUCUUAAUCUUUUUAGUCCCAUUUCAUGAUAAAUGGUAACAGCAAUAAUAUUUAUCUCAUAAAACUGUUAUGAAGAUUAAGUUUGGAUUAUGUAUAUUAAGAGCAUUACAUAUUAAUAGAACAUUGAGCAGUUAAUUUCACUAUGGGAAAGAGCUGGGAGGCAGGACUCCUUUCUGGAAUGCACUCCUGGGGAUGUUUUACAUUUCAGAAUGGUCUUCAAUCUUAUAAUUCUUUAUUUUCUCCAAGACAUGAGGGUUAGUUGAAAAACAUAAAUAUAAAAACAAAUUAUACUAAUAUGAAAGUUUAACUCAGAAAUCUGAAAAGUAACAUUUGUUAGUAACUUAACUCUAUUUGAGGGGCUGGAGAAUGAAUAUGCCUAGAGACGUCCAUUAAGCUAACCUAUUAAUAGGUGGAUAACUAGCUGGGAGAAAUGUGCCCUGAAGAUGAUAUAAUGAGCUGUUUUACCAUUUUAUCUUAUGGCAAAAUUACUUCUGACAUACUUAUUUAUAGAUUAUAAAAAAAAAUUGAAGAACCCAUUAAAGUAUUUAAAAUAGUGCUCGAAUUACAUAGAGUGCUGAGAAAGUUUUUUCCUGUCAUCUUUGAAUCAUGGGUAAACUCAAAAUUAAGAAUGGGAAGGACCAAGGUUUCCACCAAUGAGAUCUGCAUGUUUGUGGGGGAUGGUCCAAAAGAGUCAUUUGUAAAGAUUGCUAUACUCUUUGCUAGUUAACGAGCUCUUGAUAUUCUCUUUUGCAUAAUCUGAGCAGAAAAAAAGAGAGAAAGGAAAGAGGGUGAGUCAAAAAUAGCUGUGGCAUAGCAUGUAUUCUCAAGGUUCUGUGUAAUGAGAUGGUGGAAUUCCCAUGGACUAAAUGGAUACUUAAGGAGGAAGGUGGGCUUGGAAUGCCUUGCUAGAUUCCAUCCAAGAAAUCUUUCCACUGGGAGAUGAUAGCUCAGCAGUAAGAGGCUGUAGUGCUUUCUGCUGGUGGAGGGAGGAAGAAGGUUGUAAACUAAGGAAGAAGAUAAGCCAGGGCUGGUUCUCCUAAAUUAAGAAACUAUUCAAGAUACCACUAGAAACAAUUUACGGGCCUGACAAGGAACUACUCAGAGAAUAUAGCUGGCUCACCAAAAAAACCAGAAACACUAAAUAAGGAAAGAGUUCCAAUUGUGGCCUUCCUCCCUGCCUCAGAAUAUUUGAAGAGCUAGGUAGAACUUUGACAGGUGUUUAGAAGUUUUUGAUCUGGAUAGGUUACUCAUUUUAAUAAUUAGGGCUGAUCAAAAAGUACUGCUUUCUGGCCUGCCACUUUUAAGGAACAGAAAAGAGGUAUUCACAUAGCAGAGUUCAUGACAAAGUCUGAAAUAAAAAUCAUUUCAUAUUCAGUCAUCCCUCAGUAUCUAUGGAGGAUUGUGCUGCCUCCCUCCCCACAAAUACCAAAAUCUGCAGAUUUUCCAGUACCUUAUAUAAAAUACUCCAGUACAGUUGGCUCUGCCUAUCCACAGAUUGGGCAUCCAUAGAUGGAGACGCUAGAUGAUAACCAACUGAACUAAAAUUUCACAAUUAAAUUGUCUAAAAGAGUGUGGGGAUUAAAAGUAAGCUAUGCUAAUUUGUGUUAUUGAUGAAGAAAGAAAAGAGUUCUUUGCUAUUUUUUCCUUACUUAGCACACAGUGAAUGCACAAUGUUCAGUCCUGGGCAUCAUGUUUUAAAAGAAAUGUAGAAUGCUGAAAUAUAGAAAUCCUGAUAGAAAGAAUGAUGACUAAUCUGCAACUCUUUAUCUUCAAGAAGAUAAAGUUAAAAAUGUUUUCAGUUAUUUAAAAAGGAUAAUUACUUGAAAGAGAUCAUCUAUUUGCCUCUUUGUUUCUGAAGCCAUAAAUUAAACCAGUAAUGAGGUGUUAUAUACAAAUAAAUUGACUUGAUAUAUGGAAGAAAUUUAUUGAAAUUAAUAAAUUAAUUUGCAAAAUCUGUGACUUCAAUGCAUGUGUACUGUAGGAAAAUUGGAAAAUACAAAAUAAUAAAAAGAGGUAAAUUAAAAUUCAUAAGCCCAGAAUUCUGUCCAGAGUGAGGACAGAAAUGUAUGAUAUGUAUUCAUUCUAGGUUAGAAUAAAUUCUCCCACUGCAAUGGGGAUACCCAUGUUUGAGAUGAAAGAAAAGGCUAAUUUGUAGGUAGUUGGUUAUAUGUAUGAGAUAUCAAGGGUUUCUAUAAUCACUAGGAAGUUUGACAACGUAAACUUUAGCUUUUUUUGGAAUCCUAAAGCCUGUGAUUAUAAAAUGUAAAACUGUGUCUAAUUUUUUUGCAUGCUUUAAAUCCAUAUUUUGGCAUGGCUAGUUGACAUAGUUUUGGAAUGAAACAUUCAUGAAACAGUCACACCUUUAGAAAUAUCAUGUGAAUUAAUUUCAUAACAAUACUCUUUAAGGUGCCUAUCAAAAUAUUCAGUUUACCAAUUGGUUGUCAUAUAAUGUACUACUUAAUAUUCAGAUGAUAUGAGGUAAAACUCUUGAAUUCAAGUGUUUCUUGGGUGUUUAAAGAUUUUAGAUAAAGCUAGAAAACUUCAGCUAAAAUAUAUAGGGAGGCCUCUGAUGAGGAACUAGGGAAACGCAAUUGCCUUACAAAUCAAAAUGGAGUUAUACACAAGGUUGCCAGAUAAAAUGCAGGGUGCCAAAUUAAAUUUGAAUCAGAUAAGCAAGGCAUAAGUCUUUUCUAAAUAUGUCCCAAAUGUUUCGUGGGACAUACUUAUACUAAAGACCUAUUCAAAGAUUAUCUCAAAUGCAAAUUUAAGUUUAUCUGUGUUUUCAUAUUUUAAAUCUAGAAACCCUCCUUGUCUUUGAAAAUAGCAAAAAAGAUUAUCAAUAUUGUCUCAUGUGUCACCUUCUAUAAAUUAUGGUCAGAAGAAUACAUAACAACAUCAUUGAGAAUGUACAAAAAAUUUAGGUCAAUGUUUCUAUAAAUGUAAAGAAAAAUAGAUAAUUUUUAUAAUCCAGUUUUUGACUGCAUUGAAUAUCGUCAGUGACCUUUUUGAUUUAUUCAAUGUACAAAUGUUUUGUUUGAUUUUCUAUAGACUUUAACAUUGAUUUUAAAUGUAAUACAACAAAAAAGAUAGAAUAACCAUUUUUCUCAGCUUACUGGAAUGCAGGAUGGCCUGCUUCUCCUCAUUUUUGAAAGAAAAUUCAUUUAGGCUUUAAUUUAUUUUGAAUUACUAGCCAUUUUCCAAGACCUAACUUCAUCUAAAUUGAGAACAAGCACAUUUCAAUGUUACCCAAUAAUGGGAAAAAGUGGCAUCUCUCUCACUAAGAUUUGCUCCUUUUGGGUCUCACAGAAGACGCUUUCCUUUGAUUUGUAAUAGAACAUAUGGUAAACCUUCUGGUUUAUUUUUGUUAUCCCCUGGACAGCUUUUCCCUCUCAUGUUCACAUAGCAGAUGUCAUACAGCAUUUGUCCAUAUGGGGGCAAAAUCCUGCCUUCUGCCCCAAAAUACAUUGCAUUCAAACUCCCAUCUUAAUCCCGAUUACUUCCAGAAAUCAAGGUAUUCCAAUAGGUGUAUCCUCUUGGACUUGCAGCACAUAAAUUUUAAUCAAUUCAGAAAACUUAAUAUAUCAUUUUCCUAGGGCUGCCUAACAAAGUAACCAUAGUAUGAAUGGCUUAAACAACAGAAAUUUAUUUUCUUACAGUUCUGGAAAUUGGAAGUCUGAGGUCAGACUGUUGGCAGGGCUGGUUCUUUUUGAGGGCUAUGAGGCAAGGUUCUGUUCCUUGGCUUGUGUAUGGCCAUCUUCUCCCUGAGUUUUCAUAUAUUGUCCUUCUGUACAUGCCGGUGUCCAGCUUUCCUCUUCUUAUGGGAAUAUUGGUUGUUUUCAGUAAGAAUGCACCCUAAUGACCUAAUUUUAACUUAAAAUAAGACCUUUAAAGGCCUUAUCUCAAAACACAAUUAUAUUCUGAGAUAGUAGGGGUUAGGAUUUUAACAUGUGAAUUUUAUGGGGAUACCAUUCAGCCCAUAACAUCUGAUAACUUCAAAACAUUUAUAAAAGAACUUUAAAGCAAUGAAGCAAGGGGAAGGGUCGCAGGCUAAAGCCUAAAAAGUGGUCAAAGAAGCAGGCAGAAUGGCUUAGAUAAACAAGGGCAUGGAGAGAACCAUAAUAUUUGGUUGGUAUCAGAGUGACAAAAGCAAUAUUCCUUGUUCUCUUUCCUUUUCUUGUGAAUUAUUCUCCAUAUUAAAAUCUAGCCCUUCUAGGACAUCUGUCCCCUGAACUACACCUCCUGAUUCUCCUGCUAAUAUCUUCAUCCUGCUUCUGCUGCCUCCUCAAUUUUGAGAAACAUGCAUUUAUCAAAUUGUAUUUUAGACCUUGCAAACCUAUUUGAGAUGCUUCUAGGUAUCUUCUAAGAAUGCAGUGGUCUCACAGUAUCAUCUGUCCCCUAAUGAAGGAAGUAUGGAUUCCAUGUUGUCAUUUUUGAGCUAGUGAAAAUUAAAGCCAGUUUAUCUCUUGAAGAAUUCAUAGAACAUAGCAUAAUAUUUAAAGAUUUAUAAAAUCUAACUUUUCCUUCUAUUGUAAUUUGUACAUCUAUCUUCAUGUGAAAAAAUUUCCAUGGUCUUUAUAUAAUACCACUAUUUCCAUUACAAUUAAUAGAUUUUCUUUUAUUGGCUUUCAAGAAUAUAUAUUCACUUUGGGAAAGAAGAUGUAUAUUGAAAGUAAAAAGGUAAGGACCGCAUUGUUAGGAACUGAAGAAUAUUCCCUGUUGUUUUUGUAUCUGUAGCAUUUUAAGGAGAAAAUGAAAUUUUGGAUUAGUUGCUGAUAAGCAUAAUAAUAAGAAAUAGCUAUUAGCAAAUUAAUUAAUGUCUAGUGUCCUAUUUGUGUUUUACACGAAGAAUCAUUAUUGGCUUAGCUUAAAACUUGGUCUUUGAUGAGAGUUUUUUACAUGAAAUAUUGAGAGUGUUGCUUGUGAAAUUAUACUGGCCCAUGAAAUUUAAGUAGAGAAUCAUUACCAGUAGGUAAAAGUAAUUAGAAAAGACCAGGAAUCCUGUAGUUUAAGCAAUAAUAAUCCAUGCAGUUAAUCACUCCAUUAUUAAUUUUUAGAGAAAGAGAGUUGAGCUCUUUCUGCUAAAUUAAAGAGGAGGUAAUGGGGGCCGGAAUACAAGUUAAGGAAAAUAAAACAAGAAUCUCAAAAGAGGGAAUACUAAAGAAUCAGAAUCAGGAGUUGCCAUCAUGGUGCAGCAGAAAUGAAUCCAACUAGGAACCAUGAGGUUGCGGGUUUGAUCCCUGGCCUUGCUCAGUGAGUCAAGAAUCCAGCCUUGCCAUGAACUGUGGUGUAGGCUCAGAUGUGGCAUUGGAUCUGGUAUUGCUGUGGCUCUGG
rnacentral:lncRNA from 1 species